UACGAAGGGGGCUAGCGUUGUUCGGAAUUACUGGGCGUAAAGGGCGCGUAGGCGGCCCGCUAAGUCGAACGUGAAAUCCCCGGGCUCAACCCGGGAACUGCGUCCGAUACUGGUGGGCUCGAAUCCGGGAGAGGGAUGUGGAAUUCCAGGUGUAGCGGUGAAAUGCGUAGAUAUCUGGAGGAACACCGGUGGCGAAGGCGACAUCCUGGACCGGUAUUGACGCUGAGGCGCGAAAGCCAGGGGAGCAAACGGG
rnacentral:rRNA from 1 species